CCGCUUCGCGGACCGAUCGCGCAACUCUGAGUUUUUAGCUGCAGAAUGUUGCGCGAUGCACCCGCAUCGCGGAACCAUCGCGAAACAGGUCAAUUUCGGGUCAAAAGUCGGGUUUACGCGUUUUCUUGUUAUAUUUGGGGUUGGGGUUUAUUUCUCCAACACCCCAUCCACGAAAAAUCUCUCUAAACUCAGAGACAACAAAUCCCAAACCUCAAUAACCUUCCAAGGUAAGUUUUAUCAUGAUUCUAGGUUGAAUCCAAGUCCCCAAAACCCUUCAAAUCCAUAGGGUUAUGAUUGGAAUAUUAUUGUUGGAUGUGGAAACCCUAGAACCCGAAUUCAAGAGGAUUGGACUUCAAAAAGAUUAAAGUUGAAGGGAUUGAAGGACAUUGUGAUACGCUCAAAAGCAGGAAGUUAAGGUACUGAUAUACAGGACGACACAUCUGCUCAGUAGGACAGCAUUCGUAUCAGCUUAUUGGUAAGCCCCAUCUCAUUCGGGGUUUAGUCAACUUUUGUUUUAUGAUUAGUUAUGCAUCUAAAGGUAUGCUGGGGGCCUUGUCCCAGUAAGUAUGUUUUCCAGUCAGACUCAUGAUAGAGGUUUCAUAGACUAGACAAGUCAGUUAUGUCAUGUCAAACAUUUGGAGUCGUAUAGCCAUUUUGGCUCACUCAUGUUUAAACCAACAUUUUAUUAAGUAUUAUGACUUA